rnacentral:rRNA from 1 species
AUGCAAGUCGAACGGAGCACCCUUGACUGAGGUUUCGGCCAAAUGAUAGGAAUGCUUAGUGGCGGACUGGUGAGUAACGCGUGAGGAACCUGCCUUCCAGAGGGGGACAACAGUUGGAAACGACUGCUAAUACCGCAUGACGCAUGACCGGGGCAUCCCGGGCAUGUCAAAGAUUUUAUCGCUGGAAGAUGGCCUCGCGUCUGAUUAGCUAGAUGGUGGGGUAACGGCCCACCAUGGCGACGAUCAGUAGCCGGACUGAGAGGUUGACCGGCCACAUUGGGACUGAGAUACGGCCCAGACUCCUACGGGAGGCAGCAGUGGGGAAUAUUGGGCAAUGGACGCAAGUCUGACCCAGCAACGCCGCGUGAAGGAAGAAGGCUUUCGGGUUGUAAACUUCUUUUGUCAGGGAAGAGUAGAAGACGGUACCUGACGAAUAAGCCACGGCUAACUACGUGCCAGCAGCCGCGGUAAUACGUAGGUGGCAAGCGUUGUCCGGAUUUACUGGGUGUAAAGGGCGUGCAGCCGGGCCGGCAAGUCAGAUGUGAAAUCUGGAGGCUUAACCUCCAAACUGCAUUUGAAACUGUAGGUCUUGAGUACCGGAGAGGUUAUCGGAAUUCCUUGUGUAGCGGUGAAAUGCGUAGAUAUAAGGAAGAACACCAGUGGCGAAGGCGGAUAACUGGAC